rnacentral:rRNA from 1 species
UGCAAGUCGUACGGUGUAGCAAUACACAGUGGCGGACGGGUGAGUAAUAUAUCGCUAAUGUACCCCGGACUCUGGGAUAGCUGCCCGAAAGGGCAGGUAAUACCAGAUGAUAUAACCGACAGGCAUCUGUUGGUUCUCAAAGGGCAACCGGUCUGGGAGCAGGCGAUAGCGUAUCAGCUAGUUGGUGAGGUAACGGCCCACCAAGGCGACGACGCGUAGCUGGUCUGAGAGGACGGCCGGCCACAUUGGGACUGAGACACUGCCCAGACUCCUACGGGGGGCUGCAGUAACGAAUCUUCCACAAUGCACGCAAGUGUGAUGGAGCGACGCCGCGUGUGGGAUGAAGUCCUUCGGGAUGUAAACCACUGUCGGGGGAAAGAAGGUUCUGAUCUACCCCAGAGGAAGAGGCGGCUAACUCUGUGCCAGCAGCCGCGGUAAUACAGAGGCCUCGAGCGUUAGGCGGAAUCACUGGGCUUAAAGCGUGUGUAGGCGGAUCGGUAAGUACCUUGUGAAAUCCCACGGCUUAACUGUGGAACUGCUGGGUAUACUGCCAGUCUUGAGCCACUCAGGGGCUACCGGAACAAAUGGUGGAGCGGUGAAAUGCGUAGAUAUCAUUUGGAACGCCAAUGGUGAAAACAGGUAGCUGGGGGUGUGCUGACGCUGAGACACGAAAGCCAGGGGAGCAAACGGGAUUAGAUACCCCGGUAGUCCUGGCCCUAAACGAUGUCCACUAGAUCGUGGCAGCUCUGACGUUGUCAUGGUCGAAGCAAAAGUGCUAAGUGGACCGCCUGGGGAAGUACGGUCGCAAGGCUAAAACUCAAAGGAAUUGACGGGGGCUCACACAAGCG